UACGUAGGGGGCAAGCGUUGUCCGGAUUUAUUGGGCGUAAAGAGCGUGUAGGCGGCUUUACAGGUCCGUUGUGAAAACUCGAGGCUCAACCUCCAGACGUCGACGGAAACCGUGUGGCUAGAGUCCGGAAGAGGAGAGUGGAAUUCCUGGUGUAGCGGUGAAAUGCGCAGAUAUCAGGAAGAACACCAAUGGCGAAGGCAGCUCUCUGGGACGGUACUGACGCUGAGACGCGAAAGCGUGGGGAGCGAACAGG
rnacentral:rRNA from 1 species